AUGGCAAAGUAUUGGUGGAGUAGCUCCAUUGACCGCCGGUCUUUGCAUUGGGUGGCUUGGGAAAAUCUCACUGCUCCAAAGGUGAAUGGAGGUAUGGGGUUUAGGGAUUUUGAAAGUUUUAACCUAGCGUUGCUUGGUAAGCAUGGAUGGCGGCUGCUGACCCAUCCCAACUCCUUAUGCUCCAGAGUUUUGAAGGGAAAAUAUUUUCAUAAUUUUGAUUUCAUGGAAGCACAGGUGCCUCGCUCAACAUCGGCGACUUGGAAGGCGAUCAUAGCAGGUCGAAAGGCGCUGGAAUGUGGCUUGAUCAAACGUGUUGGGAACGGUGAAUCUAUAUCCACCUGGUCGGAUAGGUGGAUCCCG
rnacentral:rRNA from 1 species